GGGAUACACUUGAUCUCUGAACUUCACAGGUAAGUUUGCUUGUUGAUAACUACUGGUCUGCUGAUGCU
rfam:Arabidopsis lyrata subsp. lyrata unplaced genomic scaffold ARALYscaffold_1, whole genome shotgun sequence.